GGAAGAGAUGAAAAGCCAUUCAGCACUCCUUGCCCACAUCUUGCAGGGAAACAGAAGGUGCUCCUGCAGCUCUCAAGAACUCCAGUGAGCUGAUCUUGCUCUUUCAGCAAAAGCAACGACAGCACAGGAGCAGGGGCUUCACCUCAGGCAGGUGAACUUGAGGCAGCAGCCCUUGCACAGAAUGGGAUGAAGAGCAGUGCCAAAGGAAGUUCUACCAGCUGAGUGGCAAUGAAUAACUGGGGUCAUUGUUAUCCUCCAUGGCUGGCUUUGGGAAGAUUGCUCAGGAAAUCUGAAUUCAUUUGACUUGCGAAACACCUGCGGUUGGACCCAACCUUCUGUAGGAGCAGAAUUCUGUGAAAGUAAUGUUCAGGGAGAGGUAUCACAGGAACAGGCCACAUCAGAGAACACCCAGAGUGAAAGAAAGAUAUGGGAGACUCAGCUAACACCCUCUAGCAGAGGCUCUGCCUUUGGAAAAUGCCAUCUACUCAAGAGGACUCAUGAUACUGACACCACCCCACAUUGCCACAGUUUUCUGAGGAUGUUCAGCCUUUCUGUAGAACUAAAACAGCCCAGCCAGUCACUGUGGCUAAAGCAGCAGCUAAAGGAAUGCCCCAUAAGGGAGGCAAACAGAGAGAAGGUGCUCAGAAAUGAGCUUGCUCUGACAUCCACACCUACAUGUACUGCCUGACUGCCUUGGUCUGAAAUUGUCACCUCUGGUGCUCUGUGUAGCCUGGUCCCUUCAUCUUUAGUUCUCCAAUUGAUAAGGCCAGUAGCAAUAUAAAAAUACUACUCUUCCUGCUCCCAUGUUAUCCCAUUCCCUUUCUCCUCAAAGGGAAUUCUUUCAUCAAGCAUUGGGCAAAAAGAACCAAAUGUUAUCCAGUGAGAGCAAAGCCAGCUAAUCCUGCACACAGGGAAAUCCUGAGGAGGCAAGUGGGGAGACAGAACCCAGAAACAACAUAAAUAGCAGGAGAAAAAAAAUGGACAGCUGGGGCAAGGAAGAAAAUCAGCACAAUUUGAAAAAGACAACACAGUCCAAAGGUGCCCUAGAGAACAGCCACCAACACUGAGAGGACAGACAAAGGAAAAUAAACUACAGUCAGACCACUUUAUCAGAUGUAAGUGCAAGAAAACAUUCUCAUUAG